rnacentral:sRNA from 1 species
UUUUUUUGUAUUUUUUUU